GGCCUAAUGGUCUAGACGUAUGAUUCACGCUUCGGGUAAUCCCGGUUGCUUAUGCAACUCCUAUUGUGUGAGGUCCCGGGUUCAAUUCCCGGUUAGGCCC